rnacentral:rRNA from 1 species
AAGGGAAUCUUCCGCAAGGGGCGAAAGCUUGACGGAGCAACGCCGCGUGAGGGAUGAAGGUUUUCGGAUCGUAAAACUCUGUUAUAAGGGAAGAACAAAUGGGUAAGUAACUAGGCACGUCUUGAGGGUACCUAAUAAGAAAGCCACGGCUAACUACGUGCCAGCAGCCGCGGUAAUACGUAGGUGGCAAGCGUUAUCCGGAGUUAUUGGGCGUAAAGCGCGCGUAGGCGGUUUUUUAAGUCUGAUGUGAAAGCCCACGGCUCAACCGUGGAGGGUCAUUGGAAACUGGAAAACUUGAGUGCAGAAGAUGAAAGUGGAAUUCCAUGUGUAGCGGUGAAAUGCGCAGAGAUAUGGAGGAACACCAGUGGCGAAGGCGACUUUCUGGUCUGUAACUGACGCUGAUGUGCGAAAGCGUGGGGAUCAAACAGG